rnacentral:snRNA from 1 species
UCUAAACAUUUUAGCUAAU